GAAUAUGUUCUUGAUUGCAGAGGAGAGGAUACACACACACAGAUAGUGGGCAGGGGUCUGCAAAGAGAGGGGUCGUGAGGGAGAAAAGAGUCCUCUUAGGAGAAGGAGGCUGCUGUUGUGUGAAUUAGGCUUCUGCGUACAGGACAGAACAUAAAAGCUGCUAUGGAUUUUGGAUUUGCCUGUGCACUGUGUCUGUCCAUUGUUCUAAUGUACCACUGGCAGUGUGUGGCAGCACCCAGGAUUUUUUUAAAAAAAAUAUUAUAUUGACUGGAUGGAAGUUGACUGUACAGGAAACAACCCUGCCUGCUUAGGAAUUGAGAGGGGUGGCAGAUAUAGCUGACACUCCCCAAAGCCACUCUCAGGAAAUGGCGAGAGAGAGAGAGAGAGAGAGAAGAGGAAGAGGAAGAAGAAGGAAGCAGCAUUUCUACUAAAUUACACCUCUGGAGCCUGUCAUUUGGAAUCCAGACAACUAGGGACUGAGAGCACCAUUUCUGCUUCUGGGUGUCAGUCACCACCUCCAGUUUCUGUCUCUUUUUGCUUCUCCCCACUUCCUGUCUCCUUUGUUCAUUUAAUUCUUGCUUAUAAUAAAGAACACAAGGGCAUUCAAAUGCAAAUAACAGCACAGUGGAGGGGGAGGGGGGAGGAGGAUCCUUCAAGAGGAAUAUAUGCCACCCCCCUGCUUCUGCUUCCUUUCCAGAUUCGUCUCCAAAAUCAGCUUCUGCUGAGAACUGGGCAGGGGGGAGAGAAUGCAUUGCUUUGCAGGAUAAAGGACCAUAAAACGUGUCAUCUGGUUUUUACUUUCUAUUUUUUUAGUUGUGGCAGAGGGGGUUGUUGAGAAACGAAUUUGUCAGAGAACAAAUAUUCAUUUAACGUGAGUCACUAGAACUGGCACCGGUUUGGAAACCUCUGUAAAUUAAAGGCUAGCAAAACUGGGAAAGCGGAGGGAAAUCUCCAGUGAUGGAAGUCAAUAGAACAGCCUUUUCCAGAGGUUAAAUAUGUGUAGAAUUAAUGCAUUUAGGUGAGGGAAUGGCAUGGUGGCUGCAAACUCCAACCUGGCCUUUGCACAUUCACUUCAACUUCUGAAGUGAUGUGCUUGUAGCUCUCUGCCCGAUUGGCACACGAGCCAGUUGGGGUGGUCGGUACCAUUUGGGAGGACAAAUGCCCAUUCUUAUCUUUGACAAGUUCUACACCCCUUGAAAUGGAAACUAGGUGGUAGCAUUGCAAUACUCUCAGUUCUCUGUGUGUUAUCAUGCUUUUAUCGUCAUGAACUGCAGUGUGCAAAUGUACAAUGUUGCUCUAAAGGCUUUUAAAAAUUUGAAAAAUACAAAAACGAUAUCAAUGUUGUCAGCAGAA